rnacentral:misc_RNA from 1 species
UCCCCGUUGGCCGGGGCAGUCUCGCCUGAAAAAUUCAACAGACGAUAAGGGUUGCGCUCGUUGCGGGACUUAACCCAACAUCUCACGACACGAGCUGACGACGGCCAUGCAGCACCUGUCACCAGGUUCCCGAAGGCACAGCACUGUUUCCAGCGCCUUCCUGGGAUGUCAAGCCUUGGUAAGGUUCUUCGCGUAGCAUCGAAUUAAACCACAUCAUCCACCGCUUGUGCGGGUCCCCGUCAAUUCCUUUGAGUUUUAAGCUUGCGCUCGUACUCCCCAGGCGGGAUGCUUAUCGCGUUAGCUUCUCAGCCCAAGGGGUCGAUACCUCGAACUAAUAGCAUCCAUCGUUUACGGCGUGGACUAC